UUUAAUUCCCACACAUAUUUGUUUCUAUAAAUAGGUGCCCCGCCGCUGCUAGUCCUAAAUAGGGUAGUCCACCACAAAUAAUUAUAUUUCCCCAACCCCAAAAAUAGACCUACCACAACUCUUUCUUCAUUAAACGCCAACCACAAUCACUCACCCACCCACCAUUCUCAAAAAAAAAAAAAUCCUGCCCUUCAUUUCUUGUUCGUGAUAAAAGAACAAAACAUCAACUACUCUCUUUGCUGCUUUUCUUUCCACAACUCUUUCCUGUUUACAGUACAUAGAAUUAAAAGCAAUUCAUAAUUUAACUUCUAUGGGUUCAAUUUUAUUUUAUUAUAACAGGUUCAGAACUAUUAUUUAUUACAAUUUGAGUAGAAUUUUACAUAUCAAUUUAUGAAAUAUUAAGGUCAAAUGAACCCGUAUUGCGGCGCUGCUUCUACCUCGUAGUGAAGAAGGGCGAGAGUCGGUGUGAGAUAUUGUUGACAGAAGAUAGAGAGCACAGAUGAUGACAUGCCUGCUAAAUCUGGGAUUGGAGAAGCAAUGAACUGCAAAAAAGCAUCUCAAUUCAUCUGUGCUCUCUAUGCUUCCGUCAUCACCUUCACCACUCUUUCUCCCUUUUCUUCAAAAUUAUCAACGUUUCAGGUUUUCUCAUAAUUUAGGUUUUCUUUAUUGGGAUAUUUCUUGCAAAAACAAACUUCUAUAAAAGGAAAGAAAUUGGAUGGUAGGGUCAUGAUUCACAUAACCGAGCGCUACUUUUUGCAGUCCUCUUUUGUUGUGCAGCUUUUGUCAGAUUACAGCUGAUCUAACAUUAAUAUUUUAUGUAUUCACAAGAUUAGUGCUAAGCAUAGAAUAAUGGUCCAGAUUGUCGGUUUUCACUUGAUUUGUAAGAUAUAUAUAUAUCUAUACACACUACUGAGUUUCAAUGCUUACAGGUUAUCAACUCUAAAAUUUACUCAACUUAUGUUAUAAAUUUAUAUGCUUAUCUCAAUUUUGUGCCGUUGCAGCUUCUCCUUUAACAGAUCAGUGGAUCUCUCUAGUCCUAUGCCAUGUACCUGAAGAGAAACAUCUUUUCAAGGGGAUGCAAUGAGGCUACAAUUACAUGUAAUCCCCUCUCUAUCUCUCACUAUCUCUUUCUGUGUAUUGUAUAUUAGCGCAGGUAAUUAUUGUUUAGUAAUUCACCGGGUAGAUAUUAGUCAAUUAACUAGAAUUUAAAAGCGAGUAUCGAACUUCGGAGGUGAGAGAAUAAGUGUCAAGAGUAAAAGCACUUCAGUAUGUUUGAUAUCCGAAAGUUUAAAUCAAAAGAAGCUGAUGCCCAAAAAGAGCUGCAAUUAUAGAGUUCUCUUCAGCAACAUUGAUGAAAUAAUACAUAAUUCAUAGACUCAAAAUCCUAAUUUUGCCUUAUUAGAACUUCCUAGAGAACUCUCUUGCAAGUUGCAAUCGUAGAAAAUAAAUAUUCAAGGGCAUAAUCUUAUGUCUACGCAAUCACCCUCCCAGGGGUUGAUAAUAGAAUCAGCAAUUAGCGUCACUAACAAAAAGUAAAUUUAUAGUGAGUGCGUCAUAUCUCCUUAGAAAUAAACCAGCUACCAAAAACUGCUUAUUUUAAAAGUAUUUUUGUUCAAAAAUAAUUUUUUUUUAAAAUUCUUUUGCAAAAUACUUUGAAGUAUCAAAAAACUGACAUAUAUGUUCAAUUUGCGGUUAGUAUUAUUUUAAAAAUAAAAAUAAAUUUCAAUACUUAUUAUAUAAGAGUUUAACUAAAAUACAAAACAUAAAGUAAAAAUAUAAAUUAAAUUUCUCAGUUAAUAUAAAAUAUAGCUAUAUAUUCCAAAGCAAUAACAUUGAGCGUUUGGUAUUACUUAUUGUGUACAUGAUAAUUUAAAUAUGUAAAAUAUAUCAUUUAAUAUAAAUUUGAAGUCUACUUUUAGGAAUAGAAGAAAGAGAAUAAAUAUAUGAUUAAAAUAAAAAAGGAGAAGAAAUAUAUAUAGAAAUAAAAUGAAAAGGGAAAAUAAAAAUGUUAGAUUAACGAGGGAUAAUUUGAAAGAUACAAAUUUAUUAUAAGUCUAUUCUUGUCUUGAAUAAAUUAAUUUUGUACUUCUGCUUCUACUUCUAUUUUUUGGAAGAAGCUAGAAUUUUUAGCUUCUCUGUAAAAGCAGAAAAACUGCUUCUCCUGUUGCUCAGAAAUAUUUUUUCAUUUUGGCCAAACACCUUAAAAUUUUCAAAAAGUACUUCUUUGACAAAAAAAAUACUUUUGACCUUCUAGAAGCUUGUCAAACAGGCUCUUAACUUCUCACCUAAUAUUCAGUAUCUACUUUGCGGCUGCUACUUUGGAGCCUGACUAAUCAAGAUUCUCAUCAGAAAUUAAUUUCAAUUUUAAGUGAUAAAGCAUUCCCUACCAAAAGAUAACUUCAUAUCCGAUUCAAAACUCAAAACUCUAGUUAAGGACUAAAAUAUAUUUACCACGUCACCACAACCGUUACCACCAUAGCUGAUCUUUCUUAGAGUUUCAUCUAGUGCUUUAGUGUAUAUUGAUUGUACUAUUAAUAUAGAGUUUUCUUGGUGAGUUUCUGCCAGUUUUUGUUCUAAAUACUAUACAUUCAGAUAAACAAAGAACGUUAUUGCCAUUUUGCCAUCCACUUUCAUUCAAAUAGAAGAAGAUUUCAACUUUUUAGCUUGAUAUUCAUGUCCAAACUAAAGGAGAUACCUAACUAUAUAUGCUAAUAUAUAUCAAAUCGAUGGGUAUAUAUAUGAUGCAAAUAUAAUGUUCUUUGUGCCAUUCUGCAACUUAAAAUAGUUCUAUUCUUGGGUACACCCCUAUUUUAGGAAUUAGUCUGUAACACCACAACAACAACAACCUUGCUCUUAGGGAGGUAUCCUUCCCUCCAAAAACUUCCCACCUUGCUCUUAGGGAGACUCGACUCACAACCUCUCGGUUGUAAGUGGGGUUGCUUACCAUCAGAGCAACCCCCUCUUAGGCAACCACGCACACAUUCAGCCUAUAUGAUCAGAAUUGGCAACUUUGGUAAAUCCUGUAAUUUUCAAGUUUGAAUAGCCAUAAUAUUUCCCAAAUAGCUUAGCAGUUUUUGCUCUAAUCAUGAAAAGAAGACCUUAUACUACAGAGGCUAGUUUGUGGAUCAGAUAAUAAUUGGGAAAACAUCUCUCCCAAGCAGUGGCAGACCCAAAAAUUCUAACAAGGGGACUCAAAAAAAUCAAGAUUGUCCAAGUGAUUCAACAAUUUACACAUUUAUAAAAUUCCUUGCUUUUACCCUUCAGACUAUGUAGUUUCGCCCCUGCUCCCAAGUUUACUAUGUGUGUGGUGUUGCACAUGGACAUAAUCCUACUUCUAUUAGAAGCAUAUGUGCUAAUAAGCACAUGCGAAGCCAGAAUUUGAAGUUUAUGAUUCUAAACUAUGUUACUUGGACUCUCCGAAAAUGUCGUUGCGUGCAUGUCGGAUCCUCCAAAAAUAGUAGAUUUUUGGAAGAUCCGACACAAGUACGGUAGUAUUUUGGAAAGUCAGCACAACAUAGGUUCUGAACUUUCCACAAUAUAAUCUUACAAAUAUAAAAUGUUGCUGUAAGCUGUUGAGUCUUCAAUGAAAGCCCUAACCAAAGCAGCACAAAAAUGUUAGAAAAAGAAAAUUAAACCUUCACCAAUCAAACACCAGAAUUUUUUGCAAGAAAAUAUUUUCCAUGGAAAAUUUCCAUCCGUCGCACCAAACACAAUCUUAGAAAAAGGACAAUACGGUGCGCACUAAGAGAAGGGUCGUUGCCAAAUCACUGCUACAAAAUUUGGUUUUAGCGAUGGAUAAAUUCUGUAGCUAAAUAAAAAAAUCUGUUUAGCGAUAGAUUAUCAAGAAAUUCUGCUAGCUACGGAUAAUUUUGCGACAAAUUAACGACGAAGUUAGUAGCUAAUUCCAAUUUUUUUUUGUAGUGCACAAAAGUCUAUUGUAGCACCUAACACAACCUUAAGGGAAGGAAAUUCAUGAGACACUUUGUUUCACUAUCUAACACUCUCUAAAUUUAGAAACUAUGUCAAAUGGACUAAUAGGAAAAGAAGAAGAAAAAACAUAAGCAAAAAAGGUUUUCCUAUCUUUCAUAUUAUAUUAUAAUAUAUAUUCUAUAAUACUUCAUUAUAAUAUCCAAAAAAUAUCAAAACAAACGCGUUCUGUAGAAAUGUUUGACUGUGUAUCUGGUUGUUUCUGUUUCCUUUUUUUUUAAAGGCGAAGAAUAUUUCAUGAGUUCUAUCAUUUCACAUCAACCGAAAGCUUUUAGGACUAAAUUUAACUUUAAAAUAUUAGUGACCGCAGAUAUUAUACAGUUAAUACAUAUAAGUCGUUAGGAAUAUCAUAUAUGAUGGUCAAACAUAAAACAACCCUUGUUGUCGUAAAUUAAAGGACUUCCGCAUAAUUCGAAACCUAUAUGAUAUUAAAUGCCAGAAAGAUAUGUUCUUUCAGUGCAUAUAUAUCUGAGGUCGACCUAAAAAGUGUUUGGUUUUUUGGCUUAGAGGGGCGCGAAAAAAUAAAAUUGAAAAUUUUUCUCUUUUACAAAAGGAAUUUUAUCUCAUACUCGAGGAGGAAAAGAUAUUUGUUGGAUUUAUAUACAAACGGAUUUCUCUAACUCUUAAAGACUUGAGAAAAAGAUAAAGUGAUAAACCUUGCGCCAUGACACUCAUAAUUGAUUGAUUAAUUUUUUGGACCAACAAAUAUAAGUUUAUUAGUUAAUAUUAAUAUUAUAUUAACAUUUAUGACCGUUUUGUAACGGUAAUUAAAUAAUUCCCUCAUUUUAUGUCCAACCGGUUUUGCAGAAUCAGCCACGAAUAAGGCUGUUUCAAUUAUAGCUACCAGAAAGGAUGCAACUUUCGAGUUACACGUUCUUCUUUUCUGCAUUAUUUUCUAACGUGAUUUUCUACCGCCAUUCGUGUUCGCUUGCUAUUGGUGUAUUUAAAAUAUCACUACACUUAUUCUGUUCUAUCCUAAAAGGAAAUAAUUAUAGAUUUUGGUACUAGGAAAGGAUUAAGUUCUUUAAAAAUACACUGUGAAAUUAGCAGGCUCGGAUUUAUUUUUCUUCUGCCUUUAUGUUUCAAGCUUUAGUUAGCGUUUGCAAUUUAUUUUUGGAAUUAAGAAAGCUAAUAGAAUGUAGGA
rnacentral:lncRNA from 1 species